GAUGAACGCUUGCGGCGUGCCUAAUACAUGCAAGUCGAGCGAAUGGAUUAAGAGCUUGCUCUUAUGAAGUUAGCGGCGGACGGGUGAGUAACACGUGGGUAACCUGCCCAUAAGACUGGGAUAACUCCGGGAAACCGGGUCUAAUACCGGGUAACAUUUUGAACCGCAUGGUUCGAAAUUGAAAGGCGGCUUCGGCUGUCACUUAUGGAUGGACUCGCGUCGCAUUAGCUAGUUGGUGAGGUAACGGCUCACCAAGGCAACGAUGCGUAGCCGACCUGAGAGGGUGAUCGGCCACACUGGGACUGAGAAACGGCCCAGACUCCUACGGGAGGCAGCAGUAGGGAAUCUUCCGCAAUGGACGAAAGUCUGACGGAGCAACGCCGCGUGAGUGAUGAAGGCUUUCGGGUCGUAAAACUCUGUUGUUAGGGAAGAACAAGUGCUAGUUGAAUAAGCUGGCACCUUGACGGUACCUAACCAGAAAGCCACGGCUAACUACGUGCCAGCCGCCGCAGUAA
rnacentral:rRNA from 1 species